GAAACCCAACAUUGACUAACUGAAGCUCGCCUAAGUGGGACGACCAAGCCAUCUCACCUUCACAAGUUGAAUGCCCUCAUGGACCACUGAGUGAAUCCAGCGUAUCACCCUAGUCUACACUUUGGCCAUUCUCUUCAAAAUAAGGAGCCUGAUGUUUCACAAAACCAUCUGUUGCCCUCUUCUGUUAUUACAGCUGAAUGCUUCAGAAAUCAUUCUGCACCACUAAAAAUAAAAUCCACGUAGAACCUGAAAGAACCAAUGCCAAUUACUGGAGCCAAAUUCAGGUUGUAUUUUUAAAAGUGUCUAUGAAACCAUCUAUAAAUAGAAAGCCUUUCCUGUUAUUUUUAAUUACUUCAUUUUAAUGGAAACAGACUCCAGUUGGUGAGGAUGUGGUUAGGAUGCCAUGGCACAGGGCCUGCCCUUCCGGACAGAAGGCUGACUCCAGCCAAAGGAAGCCAGGGGGUGGCUCAAAGCAGUCAAAGCAUCUUCAGUGCUUACUCUUGGUUGUUGAUCCCAAAGCCUCCUUAGAAACCUCCUAGCGUGUCUCAAACCCUUUCAAACAUGUGUAUAUUUCUAUAAGUCCAAUGACAAGUUGAUUUUCUUAUAUUUAAGGUAAAUGUGGACCACAGAGAGUUUCUCUGUGAGCUGGAAGAGGAAACAUUCCUGAGUCAAAUGCUAGGGCAGUGCCACAGCUCCAGGGUCUGCUGGCAGAGGGGUGUGUCUCAGACAGGCAUCUCUGAGAGGCAGUGUGCCAGUCCAGUCCCCCAGAGCCAGGGAGCCUCCCACCCCAUGCCGCCUCACAGGGCAGGAAGAGGGCACAUUACUGCCUCACACUGGCUUAGGGAGGACAGGGAACAAGGAGACAGCCCAGGGGACUCUGGCAGUGGCCCUCAUCCCCAGACCUGGAUGGGAACCUAAGAGUCUGGGCAAGUCCUAGCUGGUGGCUCUGGUCUGCCUGUGUGCCACCAUGUGCCACCAUGAGCCACAGGAAAUAAGCAGCACAUCAGAUGGGAAGAGUGAGGCCCUAAGAAAUCUAUUCUGCUUCUUGUGGCAAAAGCUGAGCCUUCAUGCCCCCGGCCUCAAACAGCUCCAUCUCCUGCUGCAAAAGUGUGCCCCGGAGCUACAGCCUGACUGGCCAGGCAGAUAUUAGAGUUCCUUGUCUCAGAUUUCCUGUCUGGGUCACUAACCUGAAGGCCAUGACAGACCAGGUAAUACUCAUCCACCAGUAUGAGGGUGUCACUCUGCCAGUUACCUACUGUAUGGCCUUGGGUGUGUUCCUUAGCCCCUUUGUGCCCCUCGCUUUCCUCAGCCAUAAGAGAGGGGAGAUAACUGCAGCUGUUCAUAGGGCAGUUGUGAGGAUUGAGUAAGUUAAGUCAGUAAGGACCCUGGGGUCAUUCCUGGCACAUAGUAAGCCCUAUAGAAGUUUUUGGCAAUUAGAUCAUUACAUGUACAAGUUAACGUAAUUGUGAAUAUCAUGGAUCCAUAGGAUGGACUGAUUGUGUGUUAACAGGAAUUUCUUCUAAUCAAUUAUGUUCUGUCUCUGACAACAGCGGUGAAAUGUGAAAUGUGAAAGUGUAGGUGUGUGUACUCCUGCUCAUGAAGGACAAGUUAGAUAACUUGCAAGUAUUAUGAUGCACCUUAUUUGUUCCCAGGAUGAUGAUUUUGUCAUGUUCCUGUCUCUGUCUCAUGGGAAGCAGGUAACGGGGCCAUCCAUUUGCAUGUGUAAAAUAAAACAAACCUAUAAAAGCAAAACGUGGCGACAAACCACAAGUGCUUCUAUCCUCAUGGUUUCCACGGUGCCUGUCAAUGAGCACUCAUCAUGGCCCUCUCCUGGCCUUCCCACUGAGUGAGAGCUCAUUUGACAGGCAAGACAGCAUCUCCAGGCCCUCUCCUGCCACUUGAAGGAGGCCUCUCAAUCUCUCUGGCCACUAGCACCCCAACUCACAAUGAGGAUUUUAACAAGAUGAACCCUAUAUCCCCACCUUGACUUCUAAAUUGUAUAUUGCAGAGAGAGUGCUGGAAAAAAAAAAGAAAUGAAAUGAAGUGAAAAAAAUGAAAGAAAAGAGAAAGGAUUUGCUAACCCAUGACAUUUAUGUCUAGAGGACUCACAAAUGAAAAUUUGAGAAAAAGACAUGGUUAUUUCUCAGCAAGUAGAGUUUCUUAAACAUCAUGUGCCAACCCCUCCUUCGAGGGUUGCUUGUAUCUUCUUGGGUGUCGGUGAUUCUGGUGCCCACGUUUCAUGAUGCUGACACAAUUCAUUUUAUUAUCAGUAGGAGAAGAGCAGUUACUCAGGACAGCCAUGCUAGCCUGGACUAAUUUGGAUAAAUUGUCCCACGCCAGAAAUAAACAGGCCAUCAACCCCAAAUGUCAAGCAUGACACAAGGAAGUUGGAAGGACCCACCAAACUCAAGGAUUCUCCUAGCACACAAACUGAGGAAGAACAAUACAUAGGACUCCAAGACUGGAGAUGUUCCUUCAGUAUGCUAUCUUUUGUAUUCAUGCUGGGGUGCAGACGGGGAAUUAGAAGCAAAGCACUGUAGAGUCCCUUUUGGAAUAUUGACCAAUAAUUUUAUAAAAUGUACAAUUUUAUUCAAAAUUAAUCAUAGGUCAUUGGAGUGGAUCUCAUAUGAGUGGCUUGGUGCUGUCCUCCCAGUAAUGAAUGAGUUCUCAUUCUUAAUUCAUUCAAGAGCUGGUUGUUUAAAAGAGCCUGGUAUUUCUCUUGCUCCCUCUCUUGCCAUGUGACACGCCAGCUUCCCCUUUGCCUUCUGCCCUGAGUAAAAGCUUCCACACCAGAAGACGAACAGAUGUUUGUGCCCGGCUUGUACAGCCUGCAGAACCGUGAGCCAAAUAAACCUCUUUUCUCUAUAAA